CCCAGCCCCCAUCAUCUUUAUAUGAAUAAUCCAUCCAGAUUGUGGUCGAACCCCAAAACAAGUUUCUUGAUAAAUGACAUUUUUGCCAGCAUUUUUGUAUUAAAUUGUAUGGUUCAAAUAUUUAACAGUGGAAGUUUCUGUAAAGAGAGCAGUAUACAAGGUCUGUCUGUAGGAGAUUAAACCAAAAAACAGGACAUUGUACAGGAAAGAAGGAAAUUAGAAAGUAAGAAAGAGUUGGUAAGAUUGACUUCUCCCUCCGUCAUCCCCAACCUUUACUUACUUUUUUGUUUUGUUUUAAUUCUUUAUUUUAUUUGUUCAAAGAUAAGACACACAGGCUCACAAUGCCACAACAGCUAGAGUAAACAUUAUUUCAAUCAUAGGUUUACAGUUGUGAGGCAUUAGAAAAUACUGCAUAUUUUUAUAAGUUAAUAUUGCUUGUCAAAGAGUUACUUCUGUUCUUCUUAUUCGUGAAAGUAAGGAACAAGAUUAGAUAAAACAAGAUAACAUAAAAUUAGCUCCAAGACUAAAACGUUGAAACUGCAGAAUAUGCUUGAGAGAAAGGCAUAAUGAAGAUUGCUUAUAGAUAUCUGCAUUUAUAGGACAAAGCUAAGGCUAAUAUUUAUAUAGCAUAUGGUAAUUGCUAGCAAAGUGAAUAACUCAGGUGCGCGCGUAAGUUGAAUGUGCACACAAUGUAUAUAGCAUAGUGCGCAGCGUCCAUGGCUGCUGACACAGAACUUAAGCUUUGUGUCCAGCUUUAGGUUCAACCGAUCCCCAUCAGCAGUAGUGUUGGUGCCCGGUCAAGCAAGUAGUUGGGGUCCCCGCAAUCGGUGCCCUUCCAGCUCCCACUCGGGAUACAUUUCGACGUUUGGUAACACAAGUCCCCUGUCUGAUUACAAAUAGAUCUUGGGCUAGUUGUCCCGUGUAAGGUUUGUGAAUCAUACGGUGGCUGGAGACUUCAGAUGAGUAAAGGUGGUGAGUGUGGGGGGAUCCCGUAUCGAUCCAUAGCCCAGGAAGGAAGCAGUCCAGGGCUUGGUCGUGCCGAGGAGCUUGUGGUACUUCGACGUGAUGCCGUCUCCCAGGUGGGGCAGUAAUCUCCCUGAGGAGAGAGUGGUUUUGAGGGGGUAGUCCGGCAUGAUGCCGUCACCCAGGUGGGGCAGUGAUCUCCCUGAAGAGAGAGGGUUUUGAGGGGGUAUGUCGCUGUUUAGGCGUUAAGCGACUCACCGCUAUUCUGAGGCUGACUUGCUGAGGUUUUCGUCGGAUCGCCUGCCUCCUCCUCCCAGCUAUCCAAAUUUCACCUUGGCCCUGUCCUGGAGCUUCGGUGUGCUGUCCCGUGGGGUUAUUGCCAGUGGGACAUCUCCUGGAGUGCCCCUGUGGUCAGAGAGCCUGGCCCAGAAGUCGGCUAGCAGGCAGUCUAGCCGUUCCCAAAGUGAGGACAGUGGGGAUCUGGGUGCUGGCUUGCAAGUGGCGUCCACCAUGUUAUGGAUCGCUGGUCAAGCGGUGCAGGUAGGCCAAGUGUGAUGCUGUAUUUUUGAACUGCGGGCUGUGUUUACCGGGAUAUCCCUCACCAGCGGGGAGUGAAGGGGGAGAAAGUAUGCCGGGGAGACCUCCAAUUGAAUAGGCUGAAGUCGGUGGAGGAAUCGGCCGC
rnacentral:lncRNA from 1 species